CUGACAUAUUGAGCAUCCCCUCCCUUUGCCAACUCACAGCACGCACCCGUACUCUGAGCUGGUAAAAUGGUCCAACCAAAGGCUCCCUGAGAAACCUUGCCCUUUGAUUGGACCACUUGCGGCCACUGUGACGUCAUGAGGGGGAAAUAAAAAGCUGCACGAAGAGCUUUGCCCAUCACUGGAUCUUUGGUAAAUAAAAUUUAAGAAAAAACAAAAAACUAUUUUGUAGCAAAUAGGAGAGGGGGUGGGGAGAAGAAUUAAUUUUAAAAUAUAUACAUUAAAAAAGGUUGUAGUAACCAUUUAAAGGAACACUAUAUUCACCUAAAUUACUUAAGCUAAAUAAAGCAGUUUUAGUGUAUAGAUCAUUUCACUGCUCAAUUCACCGCCAUUUAGGAGUUAAAUCACUUUGUUUUUGUUUAUGCAGCACUAGCCGUGAUUGACCGAGCCUGCAUGGAAAAAAAAAAAACUGGUUUCACUUUCAAACAGAUGUAAUUUACAUUAAAGGACCACUAUAGUGCCCUGAGGGUGCCCCCACCCUCAGGGUCCCCCUCCUGCCGGGCUGGAUGGAGAGGAAAGGGUUAAAUCUUAACUUUUUUCCAGCGCCGGGCGGGG